UACAGAGGUGCCAAGCGUUAGGCGGAAUCACUGGGCUUAAAGCGUGUGUAGGCGGAUCGUGCAAGUAUCUUGUGAAAUCCCACGGCUCAACCGUGGAACGGCUGGAUAUACUGCCGGUCUUGAGCAACCUAGGGGUCAGCGGAACAAAUGGUGGAGCGGUGAAAUGCGUAGAUAUCUGGAGGAACACCGGUGGCGAAGGCGGCAUCCUGGACCGGUAUUGACGCUGAGGCGCGAAAGCUAGGGGAGCAAACGGG
rnacentral:rRNA from 1 species